rnacentral:rRNA from 1 species
AUACGAGGGGUGCAAGCGUUAAUCGGAAUUACUGGGCGCAAAGCGUUCGUAGGCGGUUUGUUAAGCAAGAUGUGAAAGCCCCGGGCUCAACCUGGGAACUGCAUUUUGAACUGGCAAACUAGAGUACUGUAGAGGGUGGUGGAAUUUCCAGUGUAGCGGUGAAAUGCGUAGAGAUUGGAAGGAACAUCAGUGGCGAAGGCGGCCACCUGGACAGAUACUGACGCUGAGGAACGAAAGCGUGGGGAGCAAACAGGAUUAGAAACCCUAGUAGUCC